ensembl:lncRNA
GACACUUCCUGACCUAGUUUCCAUUUCCCCAGGGUUUUCCCUGUUCAGUCUGGAGGUUGCCCUCCUGGGCUUGGGUUUACCGCCUCACGGUGGUCUGACUCUGCCCCUGUCCUCUGUCUGUCCAGCCUUUCCACCUACCCGCUGAAUUGUAAGAGCACAAACAUCUUUAACCUGCAUGACCUGAUCCUCUUUCCAAACAGCACCCUGCCCCCCGAUAAUACCCAUUCCAGGAGAGUUCUUUGUUUCCUUAGUCACUCAUUUGUUCCUUCUUUCAAUCGAUGUCCGUUGACUUCCUCCUAUGUGCCGGGUCUUGGAGGAACUGGGAUGCUUUGAGUAUAAAGAAGUAGAUAGCUCUCAACAACCUGCUGGCCUUUCAGGGGUUAUCACUGACGUUCUAACUUGAUUCUGCCUCUUCUAAUUAUGAGAACAGGGCUAAGUCCCCACCUAUCCCAUUAUUGAUGAUGCUACAUGAAGCUCAGACAGAGAUUACAUAUAAAGUAGAGAAAAGUUGCAGGAGUGUGUUGGUUCAGUGCUCAAAAGUACAGUCCGGUGUGACAAUUACGACUUUGAACAUCGUUAAAAAGUUUCCUCUCUCCAGGAGCAUGGGGGCAGCUGGCUGAGAAGCCUCAAGCUGAUGGACCAUGAGUAGGUCCUUAUUGAUUAUCUAGUUUAUACAUGCUGCUGCUGCUGCUGCUAAGUUGCUUCAGUCGUGUCCGACUCUGUGCGACCCCACAGACGGCAGCCCACCAGGCUCCCCUGUUCCUGGGAUUCUCCAGAAUCCUGAUUAUCUUGAGGACUGCAAUGUUACCAGCUAAAACAUGUAUUUCAUAGCCUCUCUUAUAAAGAGAGGUAAGUAAAUUCUGGCCAAUGAGAUAGAAGUCAAGAUUUUUGGUGUGGAUCCCGGGAAAGCUUCUUAAAUGGUAGAUUGAUUCAAAUGGCUUUUGGCCUAUUACACACCCUCAUUCCCAUCUUGAACUUGGACCUGAUGGCUGGUACUGAACAGCCAUUUUGCAGCAAUGAGACUUUAUUUCAUGAACUAAGGAUGACGGAGCUAAAGGAUAGAGGAAGGAUGGCACAUUAAUAAAAUCGUGGAGUUGCUGUACCCGUUUUGGACUGUCUAAUUUUAGACGGUUUACACA